rnacentral:rRNA from 1 species
AUUGAACGCUGGCGGCAUGCCUUACACAUGCAAGUCGAACGGCAGCACGGGUGCUUGCUCUCUGAUGGCGAGUGGCGAACGGGUGAGUAAUGCAUCGGAACGUACCGUGUAAUGGGGGAUAACGUAGCGAAAGUUACGCUAAUACCGCAUACGACCUGAGGGUGAAAGCAGGGGAUCGCAAGACCUUGCGUUAUACGAGCGGCCGAUGUCAGAUUAGCUAGUUGGUGAGGUAAAGGCUCACCAAGGCGACGAUCUGUAGCGGGUCUGAGAGGAUGAUCCGCCACACUGGGACUGAGACACGGCCCAGACUCCUACGGGAGGCAGCAGUGGGGAAUUUUGGACAAUGGGGGCAACCCUGAUCCAGCCAUGCCGCGUGAGUGAAGAAGGCCUUCGGGUUGUAAAGCUCUUUCGGCCGGGAAGAAAUCGCACAGGCUAAUACUCUGUGUGGAUGACGGUACCGGCAUAAGAAGCACCGGCUAACUACGUGCCAGCCGCCGCGGUAA